rnacentral:misc_RNA from 1 species
GAGAAAAGAAGUUCCGAUUUUGCAAGCCAUCCUAUGACAAGGUCAUGCCUGCAACCUUGUCUGAAUUGGGCUUCUCAGAAUUGGUAUCUGUUUACAAUGAGCUCAAAGAGCUGGGAAGACCCCCUCCAAUCAUUGAUGCAGCUGAACUUCAAAAGGAUCCCGAGGCAACUUUACGUGGUCUUUGUGAAGACCUUGGCAUUCCUUUUCAACACAAAAUGCUGAAAUGGGAAGCUGGUCCCAAAGCAAUAGAUGGUGCAUGGGCUCCAUGGUGGUAUAAAACUGUACA